rnacentral:lncRNA from 13 species
CUGCAAACCCGAAUGCUUAGUGUCUUAGUUUCGGUUUCCCCAGAAGCUGAACCAGACAUAAGGACAUGAGGGCAAGCAGUUUAUUUGGGAGGUGCAGGAAACACUAGUUGAGGGUGGUAGGGGAGAGGCCCAGGGAAGUGAAGUCAUCCGUUAAAGAGUGCUUUAUUAAGCUAGCUAUCACUGUGUGUGGCUGGAGCUUAAUCCUGCAGGAGACCUCUGGAAUAUCGUAGAAAACACACACCUCAGAAUGACCCCAUCUGAGAGCUGCAUUGAUGAGGAAACUGAAACAGAAAAUCCAGAGUAAAUUCCACCAGGCCACACAGUGAGGCCUGAUAGAGCCAGGAGAGACUUUAUGAAAUCCAGACUCUCAGACUAAUGUUCUAUCAGCUAGACCUCCAUGUGAGUCUCCCAAUGUAGGUAGGAAGAGUUCUCCCUAAAAUGCUCAUAAAGCAAAUCAGAGCAAUGCUUCAUUCCAUGUGAUUUCUAAUUUGAAAUGCAAAUAAUUACCAAUUUGUUUGACUUGUAUUUAUAAUUAUUUCCUUGUGAAUUACUCAUCACUAAAUGCUUUAUAAAUAUUUUCUCUUUUUUUUCUCAAUGUCUAUGGAAUGAUCACGGCAUAGAAAAUGUUGGCUUUCAAGGAUUUAUUAAUAUCUCUUUUUGAAAUAACAUGUAUUUGUAAGAUAGAAUAAAAUCACUUUAAAGAAACA